UGAGGAUAUUUUAUGCUGCAUGGACAAGAUGAACAGCUAUCCCAUACACGGCACCAACAUGUGUUAUGACUGUAAUAAGACAUUCUGUACUCUCCUACAUUGAGACUAUAGUAUGGAGGCUAAAAGGUUGAGAGUUUGUUGGUUGGUUUGUGAGUGCAGGGCAGCAGAGGAGUGGCUGGUGAAGGGGAGCAGGAGGAGGACUUGGCAGGAAGGUGUUGGAAGCCACACCCCCACCCCCCUCAGCAAUGAAGCUUGGAUUCCUGCUUCCUGUUCCUCUGAGGCUCUGAGGUUCAUCUCUUUGUCCUCCAGGUGAUGCACACCUCGAUGUCUCUCCAUCCAUCUCUCCAUUUCCUUCCCUACACCCUCCCCGUCUCCCUGUAUCAUACUUCAUUUGCUCCAGAUAACACAUCAGCUUCAACGCCCAUCCACAAACUCUGUCACCAUGAUGCCCACAGAUGGUAACUUCCUGUGGUCCUGCCCAGUGAUUGGUGGAGAGACUUCCAAACAGAGAACAGCUGGCGAGGGAUGAUACAUCACUGAGCGUUUGCACUUUCAUUUUCAGGGUUGUCUUGUUAAUGCUCCCAAUCCAGCAUCUGGCAGGAAAUGGACACAAAGGCAUAGAGAGGGAGAGAACAACCUGUUCUUUGGCAGACCUUAACAAAAGGCUGACACAUGUUUGAUGAACAGACAGAGCUGCUGUGAAUAUGAAGGGAAGAUGUUUGCGCUUGACACAGGUGGAACAAAGGCUAGAGAGAGGAUGUGAACAUUCUCCACAACAGGUCACUGUUAAGAGAAUAAAAUGAUGAAUACAGCAGUGAACAAAGUCGAAUGACUCAGGCUAUUAAUCUGCCCAUGUGGGAAGGUGACAGCAGUUUAGAAAUGAUUAAAAUCACAUACUCCUGUGUCUGUGACACUAACAGGUUUUCAUUUUUAAUCUUGUGAAGGUACAUUCUUUUGCUUGCAACUGUUUUUUUUGCUGAUUAUCUCCAUGAAAUAGCAAAAGUUAAUACAUACAAAGGAAAUGUUUUGUCAUUAGUGCAUUAAGGAUAAAAACACUCAAAACAGCAGUUUCGUGUUUCAGUUUCUCUUGGAAAAAGUUGUUCAGUCACUUAUUUCUAUCUUCUGCAGACUACUUUAGAAAUUGUAAUCUAUAUCUGAUAUGUGCUUUUUGUACUACAUACUGUAGGUCUCUGUUAAUAUGAAGGAGAACAAUACACCUUUAACACCAGAGGGAGCCAUUUCACAAGCAACUGGGCCACAGGACGAACUUCUAGUUAUGUUUGAGAUACAAGACUGUAAUAUUUCAGUGCAUUCGGGUGAAUGAAAGAGGAGAUCAGAAUCACAAAAACAACGAUCUUUAAUACCUGGUGUCACAGUGUUAGUGGAACUCUAGAUAUACUGCGAUGCUGAGUUGAACAGAACUGAUUCAAAUAUGCCAUUUUACAAUGUUGAUUUUUUUUUAAUCAUCCAGGCCAAUUGACUUUCAAUUCCUGC